CGAGAAGAAGUAAGCGACCCCGACUCGCAGCUCGUCCUUCUCAAUCCCCGAGGGGUCCCCGGUCGGCAGCUCGCUGUAAUUCAGGUACYGUAAACCACUGACUGGACACUGGCCUGCUUUAGAGGACAACAGACUCGUUGUUAAAUGUGGAACAGAUAUAAACAUGUGAUUCUGACCUACCCAUGGAGACUGCCAGUGUGCUAGAAUUUUGAUUUCAUAGAUUUCCAAUUUUAAAAGACUACUCUGUCAAAGAUUAAAUAUGCCUUGAAGACACUCAGAGAGGAGUGGGCAGCCU